AUGGACGACGGGGACCUGGACUUCUCCUCCAUGUCCAUGGGCAGCUACUUCGACGACUUGCUCGGGGGCACGGCGGAGCACCUCGCGUGCUGCACCCACACCCACACCUGCAACCCGCCCGCCCACCACCUCCCCCACACCCACACCUGCCACCACGUCCACUCCAAGUUCGCCGCCUCCGCCUCCUCCGACGCUGCCGCCGACUCCCCCACCGAGCCGGAGGACGCCCACGCCACCUCCCGGAGCAAGAAGCGCCGCCCCUCGGGCAACCGGGCGGCCGUGCGCAAGUACCGCGAGAAGAAGAAGGAGCACACGGCGGUGCUGCAGGAGGAGGCGGCCCGUCUGAGGGCUAUGAACGAGCAGCUCACCAAGAAGGUCCAGGACCACGCCGCGCUCGAGGCCGAGGCGGCCAGGCUCCGCUGCCUGCUCGUCGACGUCAGGGGCAGGAUCGAAGGGGAGAUCGGCGCCUUCCCUUACCAGCGGCGACCGGCCAAGGGCGACGGCCCGGGCUCUGCUGGCCCGGUCAUGAUGAGCUCAUGUGGCUUCGUACGAACCUGUGAACAGCCUCCUGUUUGUUUUCAUCAUUAG
rnacentral:rRNA from 1 species